rnacentral:rRNA from 1 species
AUCCAGUCAGGCAACCAGAAGCGCUCGAUCCUUCUCGAAAAGGGCAGAAAAGGAUGGAAGCCAACUGGGCAUGGCCGCUGCCGCUCCACACGCCGCCGGCGCCGGUCGCUCCAAAUGCCUCGCCUACCUCCUCUCCCCCGUAGCAGCCCUGCGGCUCACUACCACCUCCACCGCCACUCUCCUCCUCCCCGUUGUCUCUUCUCCCUCCUACCCCGUCUCUCGGACGCCGAAGUCAGCAAUUAUGCCGUCGGCUCCGCCGUCCCCCGAAUCCGUGAUGUCUAUGGCCUCCUUCUCUGAUAACGCAGCCAUACGCCAGAUGUAGCGGCCCUGUCGGCAAGUACGCCGCCAACACCUCCCCCAAACUCAAGUCUGCCACGCCUCUCCUGCAUCCCGCUCCGAUGCAAAAGCCCGCCGCCUCCCCGUCCUCCUAGCCAUCUCCUCGACACCGACCUUCGCGUACGACGGCUACACACUUCUCAUCCUCGGUAGCGGCGGCGCCACCUGCUACAUCCUUCCCCACCGUCGUGCUCCACGUUUGUCCAUUCGAGUACGAGCUGCUCCCCGAGGACCUCUUCGCCACCAGAUAUUGGAGCGCCACCCACGGCUCCACACCCGCGUCCUCCUCCAAUCGACUCCGUCUCGAAGAUGGCUGGUCUGAUGUGAUGUUGAUGUGGAGUGUGCAGGCAUAUGGGACUCACGCUGCUCAAACUACAGCCACUCACUAACUACACCCUCAAGAAGCCACACGAUCUUUAGAUAGAACGGACAAUGGAGUGCGAGGAGGUGUGAUUCACUGCCAUUCGCCAUCUAAUAUGCUUCGUCAAGGACAAGGUAUGGGUGUGGACGAAGAGUAAAAUCUUCUAUACGUCUCAUCUAUCUUGCUUCAUCUUUGUUAGAGGAUCCUUGUGCUAUAUGUUCUGGUGGUAACAAAUGGACAGUUGGAGUAUCUAUAAUCUUCUUGCGGAAUGAAAAACUUUGAGUAUUGGAAAUGUUGGUGUAUACCUCCCUGAACCGGUAUUUUCACACAUGCUAUGUUGCUCUUCUACAGCUACAUCUAGAAGUGCUAUAAAGAUUCUUACACUCUCGGAUAAGCAAAAGGAAGGUCAAUCCAACUCCAUUGCAAUUUUACAAAGAAAUGGUCCACAAAGAAGUCUCAGUGUGUAGUCCAAGGUCUGAAUCAAGUACAAUUUGGUGGCUGUAAAAAAUCAUUCUAUCUAAUAGGUCAUUCAUCUAAAAUUGUUUCCCAUGUACGGUUCUAAAGUUUGUGCAGAGGACUUUCAGAAAAAAUAACUUUAGAUACUUGCUUUACUGUUCAUGAUAUUUUUGUAAUCGUACAUGUGUUUGAAUAGUUUUUUUGGUAGUUCUCUUUAUUACUCUCUCUGUUCAAAAAAAUUUGGAUGACGCCUAUUGCAGGUGUCUUUGCCAUCCGCGCCCCUCCUUUGGUUGGUAGCUCCACAUCUAAUUUAUCAGGUCACACCCAAAAUUUGUUUUUCCUUGAUGUCUGUUAGCUGCAGUUUUUUUGCAGAAACUUGCUUGAUGUAAGAAAGUUGAAAGAGGCCUGGUGCAGUUUUUUUUGUGUGUGUAUACAUGCACACUCGCCCCAUCUAUAUACAGAUGAUUUGAAUGCAUCUCUUACUGUACAUUUUGUUUCGUUGCUUGGUACAAAAUGUAUUGCAAGUGAUAUUCAUUGUUUUCGCUUUGUUUAUAUAUACUGCAAGCUCAGUUUUUUUUCCUUUAGAUGAAUGUAACACAGGCAGUUAUGUAAGCAAUAGUGAUUGUUUGAUUUCCUUCUAGGUGAGCAUAUGGAUGGAGUGAAACCCCCGGAAAUAAUAUAGUUGGUACAUGUAUUUUGAGUAAACAAUUAAACGAAGGGUAUACUAUGCUCGUCAAAUGAUCCCAUGGCGUGAUCUAAGACCGCAGGCUGUGCUGGAAAUUUGGGAAAUAUGAUGUGGGCGCGUUCGUCGCAUCUUUCAAAAUUUAGUGUUAUCGGUUGUGAAGCUCGCACGCCUCACAAUUAACGAAGCCAAUGUUGGAAGGACGCUGACACAUGGCACAUCGUUUUACAUAUUAGUCUAGCUUGCUAGCGAUCUGCUCCGGAUCACACUAAUAAGAUGAUGGGCGAUAAGGAUCAAGUGGUGGUUCCGGCUCAGGCUCUGGAGCUGAUGUCUGGCCUCGAUGCGCGUACACGGCCGACGGCAAGACGAGGUUAUACAGAAGCAUCUUAUCAUCAUUGUCAACAAUAAACUCAUGCACUACAAUGCUCCUGUAAUCUAAAAAGGUAGGGGGCAGCAGUGUCUCCUCUUUCUCAUAAUGCCUAAUAGGUAUCUCAAAAUGUUUAGCAAGGCGUGCAGCAUAGAUACCUCCAAAGAUGGGGCCCUUUGUACGGUUUAGGCUUAAUUGUUUAGCAAUAACGGCACCCAUACUAAAAGAGUGAUCGCGGAAUAAGGCAUGGAACAAAAUAAUAAUAUCAGGAACAUUGAGGUUUCCACAGUUUCCGCGACCAAUUAAACAUCGAC